GGGAGCGGGACUCCCUGCGCCCUCUCGCGAAGGUCUUUUCCAGCAGCUCGUGAGAGCGCCGUGUUAGCGGGUUCGCCAAGCCGCGCUGGGAACUUUUCCCACUUCGCAGUGUGUGGUUGGGGGCUUGAAGGCGCCGGAUGUAGACUGUCGAGGCUCGGGCUGUUGGUCUAGCAGGGCUGUUUGUACCCCUUGCAUUGUCAUUUUUUUGCGCUAUAAAGCUGCAUCACGUAGAAGCA
rnacentral:lncRNA from 1 species